GGAUUGUAGCUCAGCGGUAGAGCGCUCGCCUAGCACGUGCAAGGCCCUGGGUUCCAUCCUCAGCACCA
rnacentral:tRNA from 1 species